AGUGUUAUGAUGAUGAUGUUGGAGAAGUCUUUUGUGGGAAAAUAUUUUCGCAUCGAUGUGAUUGGUGACUGGCCAUUCUUCUUGAAUGGAAAGCUUUUGAUGUACAAAGCCUGUUGAUUUGUAAUUCAAUGACCUGAAUUAAAUACACAGUACUCCUGCACUGUGUGGCAUCAAUCAGGCUUUAUUUUUGCGAAAUGCAGGGUAGGAAAGGCUCUUGCAUUGGCUUUAAAAGCAUGUUGCUGAUCAUACUAAACAUAUGUGCUACAACCUUUGUUACCUUUGUUACAUUUGUUGACUGCAAGUGCCCAGAAAUAGGAACCAUUUACUCUAAAAUGACUGUUCUGAAUGGGUUUUAUUUCUAUCAAUUAUUACAAAUUUGCAAGUAGAUGGAACAGAGCAGUGGGUGUGUUAACUUGCAUCUCUCUACCUUGCUUGGUGACAUGUAGUUUCUUUUAAAAGGCCAACAAUUUCUCUUUCUAUAGACAAUAAGGGAGUGCUUGUGUCCCUCUCUCCAAGACUGUCCGCACAGUGUGGAUAUAGCUUAACCGUUGACUUUUUAGGAAAUGCCAAGUUCCUUGCUUCUGAGCUGUUUUGCUUGGAACACAGUCAGUCAAUUUAAUUUCUUGUAAACAUGUUUCUAAUGGUGACAUGUUGUGAUUUAACUUUGACUUCUAUGACUUCAACUUCCUCCUAUGUUCAGAGCAUGACAUGCCCUUAUUCUCCAUGGGCGGAGAGGGAAAUUCUGUGUGUAAGAAACUACAUGGAGGUAAGGGCUGUCGGGAUUUGAGUGUUGGGUGGGGGUGGGUGUGUCUUUUUUUUGUGUGUUUGUGGUGUUACUACAGAAGUGCUUCAUUCCUGACUAAUCUCAAGAAGAGGUGUGCCACUGACUGAACCAAACAUUGUUCAAGAUUAUCCUGACUUGUCCCCUGCAUACCCUGAGGCAACUGCUGUUGACAAUAGCAUCUGGAAAAUCAUGUUCCAUCUGCCAGAAAAUAGAAAGAAGGCUAUGACUGUUGCUCAGGCUAUGAAAUAAACACUACACCAACUCAAAUUCUGGUCAGAGCUGCAUACAACUCCAUAGAAAGCCAGCCUCGGGUGGUGAUCAGUUCUUCAGGCAUCAGAAGCAGGCUUGACUUUACCUUGAAGGAUAUUAAGACCAUGGUUGUGGUGGUUAACUUCUCUCUGUCCUGCAGUUUCCGUACAAAGAUGAUUGAUUCAAACUACAAUGACCUCCUAUGGAGCUCAGGAUUACCCUGCUGAAGUACUUAAGAAGACCUUUGUAUUUUGAGGUAGAUCUCCUGUACAGCAGGGAUCCUCAGGCUGAAUUGUUUUUUGGAAAACUGCUGGGCAACCUAUUCUGUUGACUGGAAUAGCUCUCCAAAGUGGGAUAUGUUGUGGACAGGUCACAGUGCUGAAUGGAUGGUGGUGCAAUAAAGACACUUGUGUCUUCUGGCCCAAUUGAGCUGAAGAGAGAUGAAUCCCUUUGCUUUAUGCCAAGACACGCCCAAGUCAGCGUGGUCCCUUCUGGGAGCUGCAAUGGGGUGUGUUCAGUGGCUGUCUCUGUAGCUGGAGUUAUCUUCUUGGAAAGUCAGCAUGGUCCCUUCUGGGAGCUGCAAUGGGGUGUGUUCAGUGGCUGUCUCUGUAGCUGGAGUUAUCUUCUUGGAAAGUCAGCGUGGUCCCUUCUGGGAGCUGCAAUGGGGUGUGUUCAGUGGCUGUCUCUGUAGCUGGAGUUAUCUUCUUGGAAAGUGUAUUAAUAAAUCUUGUUUGUAAAGUCUGGCUAUGUGUGGGGUGGGUUGUGUGUUGUUGUUUUUUUGUUUUUUUGUAUAUGUUUUCUUUCUCUUGCACCAUCUAGUGGUUACAUUACAAACCUGCAAGAUAUUUUAUUAAUAAA